GUCCCUGUAGCUCAGUUGGAUAGAGCACAGGAUUCCUAAUCCUGGUGUCGUCGGUUCAAAUCCGACCAGGGACUCCA
rnacentral:tRNA from 2 species